GAAUACAUGGGUGAUCUGUGUAUGGCAUCUUUCACCCCAUUGAUUUUCAGGACUGGUUCAACUGCUCGUGUUGGCUAGGCAGGUGUUCCCUUCUUGCCUCACUGACUCCAAACUUCAUGCUCUUAAAAGAGAGUGGCUUUUCCAAACAGAGAAGAACUGAUCUUUGGUUAAGGUUUUGAGUUCUAGUUUCUCAGCUACAGCUACCAAGAACCAAUGUUAAUGACUGGGAACUGAUAUGGAAAAGUAGAAAAACCAGUCCCAGAACACUGCAGAAUCUUAUAUAGUAAAUUGCUUUCAUACAUGCAAAUUGCAAUAUUAU
rnacentral:snRNA from 1 species